GAGAGUUGAUCCUGGCUCAGAACGAACGCUGGCGGCGAUGGAUUAGGCGAUGCAAGUCGAACGGGAAGGCAGCAAUGCUCCAGUGGCGCAAGGGUGAGGAACACGUGAACAACCUGCCUUCGAGUUGGGGAUAGCUUCUGGAAACGGGAGAUAAUACCGAAUAACAUCACCGGAUCGCAUGAUCUGAUGAUCAAAGCAGCAAUGCGCUUGAAGAGGGGUUCGCGUCCCAUUAGCUAGUUGGUGAGGUAACGGCCCACCAAGGCGAUGAUGGGUAGCUGGUCUGAGAGGACGAUCAGCCACAUUGGGACUGAGAUACUGCCCAGACUCCUACGGGAGGCUGCAGUCGAGAAUUUUUGGGCAAUGGACGAAAGUCUGACCCAGCCAAUGCCGCGUGCGGGAUGAAGGUCUUCGGAUUGUAAACCGCUGUCAAGAGGGACGAAAUAUGACGGUACCUCUGGAGGAAGCCACGGCUAACUACGUGCCAGCCGCUGC
rnacentral:rRNA from 1 species